rnacentral:lncRNA from 1 species
UAAAAAGGAAACUAGCUUAAUAAAAAUAUUUUAUUGCAUUAAUGAAAAAACCAGACCUGACUCUACCUUUGUACGUAUCAUUAUAAAAUAGAGUCUUGUUGCUGACGUGACUUGAAAUCAUUAUAAAAUAGUCUUGUUGCUGACGUGACUUGAAAUAGAGCCCACAACGACCUCUACCUUUGAACAUGCCCAUACUGGUUAUUGUUCUUUAACGAAGAGAAAAGACAUCAAUUCAUACUGAUUACUCCAUGUUAAUACAUUUGAAGUUUUGAAUCUUCACAUUGAUGAUUCCAUGUAAAUCUGGAUUUGCGACAACAUAAACUUUCACUUAUGAUGAUCGUCCUUCGGGUUCCAAGUGGGGAGGCUAGCUUGUCUGCAAAUUGCUCCAAGAUUAGCUUACUACUACUGAUUUCAUAAUUAAUUCUCUCUCCAUGGGCCAUAAGAUCUUGAUGUGCAUUAGCAAAUCGAUCAAAGGUCCAAUAUAAUGUACAUACAUACCCCAAACUUUGACAAAAACAGAAAGAAAAAAAGGAGGAGAAUUUUAAUACUUUAUUACAAAAGUGAAAGGAGAAAAGAAAAACAAAAGGCCGGCCAAUAGAUUUCAUGAUCAUACGUACCACUAGCUAGUGUACUACCCUGCACUAACACUUGAUGAUUAUCUAACCGAUUACCUUAACCAUGCAUGCUUAGCUCCUCAAUUGUUCACCACAGCUAGCUAGCACACUCUCUCUCAGCUUCUAGCUCGAUCAGCUCGUCGUUGUCUCAGGCGGCGCCGCCGNNN